CUCCCAUCCCUUACUACCUCUCAGGCGUCUUUUAUGCUGUCAGUGAUGGGCUCCGGGAAGCUACAAUUCUCUGGUACCCACAUGCUAUGAACUUUUGCGGGACCCCUUACAGCACAGUAGAACCGAAUAUGCUUUGGCUUCUUUGCCCACCAGAAGAGAGGAAGGCAACAUCACUUUGGCUCUCCUUCCAUUUCUCACGCAGCGAUGGAAAGGGACCAGACCUCAAGCACACAUUUUUGGAAGGAGCACUGCCCUGGUAAAGUUAAGAAGGCUGGCUCCUCGUCCUAGUGUUCCAAAUUACCAUCAGCGUUAUUGCAAGCAAAUCACUUUACCGGCUCCAAGGCUCGUCUCUCCAUCUGUAAGGAUCUACUCUGCAAUUUCCUAGGCUAAAUAAGACCUCAGGAUCCAUCCAAGUAAUGACAGCGUUUGUACAGCCUCCCAAUGCCAAAUGUGUCUCUGGUUUAUAGAACGAGGAGCAUUUCCAUCUCACAAAGCAACCAUCUGAGCU